UAGGGUUAGGGUUAGGGUUAGGGUUAGGGUUAGGGUUAGGGUUAGGGUUAGGGUUAGGGUUAGGGUUAGGGUUAGGGUUAGGGUUAGGGUUAGGGUUAGGGUUAGGGUUAGGGUUAGGGUUAGGGUUAGGGUUAGGGUUAGGGUUAGGGUUAGGGUUAGGGUUAGGGUUAGGGUUAGGGGUAGGGGUAGGGGUAGGGGUAGGGUUAGGGUUUCGGUUAGGGUUAGGUUUAGGGUUAGGGUAAGCAUUAGUGUUAUUGUUAGGGUUAGGGUUCGGAUUAAGUUUAGGGUUAGGGUUUAGGUUAGGGUUAGGGUUAAGGUUACGGAAAGUUUAGGGUUAUGAUAAAGGUUGGGUUUAGAGGUAAGGUUAGGGUUAGGUUUAGGGUCAGGGUUAAGGUUAGGGUUAGGUUUAGGGUUAGGGUUUAGGGUUAGGGUAAGGGUUAGGUUUUUGCUUGGGGUUAUCUUAAGAUCAGGGUUAGGGUUAGGUUUUUGGUUGGGGUUAGCUUAAGGUUAGGGUUAGGUUUUUGGUUGGGUUAGGUUAAGGUUAGGGUUAGGGUAAGGAUUAUACUUCAGGUUAGGGUUAGUGUUAGGGGUAGGGUUAGUGUUACGGUUAGGGUAAGGGUUAAGAUUUGAAUUAGGGUUAGGGUUAGUGCUCGGGUGUGAGUUCGUAUUAGGGUUAGGGUUACGGUUAGGUUUCGGGUUAGGUGUAGGAUUAGGCUAAGUGUUAGGGUAAUGAUAAGGUUAGGGUUAGGUUUAGGGUUAGACACAUUAGUGUUAUGGUUAGGCACGUUAGGGUUAGGGUUAGGCACGUUAGGGUUAGUGUUAGGGUUAGGUUUAGGCACAUUAGGGUUAGGGUUAGGCUCGUUAGGGUUAGGGUUAGGGUUAGGCACGUUAGGGUUAGGAUUAGGGUUAGGCACGUUAGGGUUAGGGAUAGGCACGUUAGGGUUAGGGUUAGGGUUAGGCACAUUAGGGUUAGGGUUAGGCACUUUAGGGUUAGGGUUAGGGUUAGGCACAUUAGGGUUAGGGUUAGUGUUAGGGUUAGGGUUAGGGUUAGGGUUAGGGUUAGGGUUAGGGUUUGGGUUAGGGUUAGGGUUAGGGUUAGGGUUAGGGUGAGGGUUAGGGUUAGGUUUAGGGUUUGGGUUAGGGUUAGGGUUACGGUAAGGGUUAAGAUUAGGGUUAGGUUUUGGUUUAGGGUUAGGGUUAGUUUUAGGGCUAAGGUUAGGUUUACGGUUAAGGUUAGCGUUAUUGUUAGUUUAGGGUUAGGGUUAGGGUUAGGUUUAGGAUUAGGGAUAAGGUUAGGGUUAGGGUUUAGGGUUAGAGUAAGGGAAAGGGUUAUUGUUAUUUUUAGGUUAGGUUUGGGGUUACUGUUAGGGUUAGGGUAAUUUUUAGGGAUAGGUUUAGGUUUAGGGUUAGUGUUUGUUUUAGAUGCAGGGUUAUUGUAAGGGAUAGCGUAAGGGUUAAGCAAGGGUUAGGGUUUGGGUUCGGUUUAGGGUUAGGUUUAGAUUUAGAAUUAGGGUAAUGGUUAGGGUUCGGAAUAGGGUUAGGGUUAUUGUUAGGUAAGGUUUAGGUUUAAGGUCAGGAUUAGAGUUAGGGUUUGGUUUAGAUUUAGGUUUAGGGUUACGGUUAGGUUUUGGGUUAGGGUUUGGGUUUAGGGUUAGGCUUAGGGUUAGGGUUCGGGUUCAGUUUAGGGUUGGGGUUAGGUUUAGGGUUAGGGUUAGGGUUAGUGUUAGUGUUAGGGUUAGGGUUAGGGAUAGGGAUAGAAAUAGGGAUAGGUUUUGGGUUUGGUUAGGGUUAGGAUUAAGGUUAGGGUUAGGUUUAGGGUUUGAUUUAGGAUUAAGGUUAUCGUUAUGGCUUGAGUUAGGUUUAGGGUUUGGGUUAUUGUUAGAUUUAGGGUUAGGGUAACGGUUAAGUUAGGGUUAUGUUUAGGUUUUCUUUUAGGGUUAGGGGUACAGUCAGGGUUUGGAUUAGGGCUAAAGUAAGGGUUAGGUUUCUGGUAACGGUUAAGUUAUGGUUAGGGUUAGUGUUAGGGUUAAAUUAGGGCUAGGGUUAGAUUUUGUGUAAGGGUUAGGUUUACGGUUUUGGUUAAGAUUAGGGUUAAACAAAGGGUUAGGUUUAGGGUAACGGUUAAGUUAAGGUUAGCGUUAGGUUUUUUGGUAGUUUUAGGGUUACGGUUAGGCUUCAUGCUUAGGUUUAGGGUAAUGUUUAAGGUUAGUCUUAGUUUUAGUGUUACGGUUAGAAUUAGGGGUGCGUAUAGUGUUAAGAUUAGGUUUAAGUUAAGGGUUAGGUUUAGUUUUAGGGUUAGAGUUAGAGUUAAGUUAGGGUUAGGGUUAGGUUUGGGUUUUGUGUUUGGUUUUGGGUUAGGGUUGGGAUUAGGGUUUGGGUUAGGGUUAACUGUAGGAUUAGGGUUAGGGUUUGUUUUAUAUUUAAUGUUUCUGUUAGGUUAAGGGUUAAGUUAGUGUUUGGUUUAGGGUUAGGUUUAGAUUUAGGUUUUGUGUUGAGUUAGGGUUAGGGUUAGAGUUAGGGUUAGUGUUUGCGUUAGGAUUAAGGUUAGGGUUUUGUUUAGGGUUAGGGUUAAGAUCAGGUUUCGGGUUAGUUUUAGGAUUAAGUUUAGGUUAGGGUUUGGGUUAUGUUUGGGGUUAGUGUUAUGGUUAGGACUAUGGUUAUUGCAAGGGUUAAGAUAGGGUUUGUAUUAAGGUUUUUUUUUCGGUUAUUGUUGAGUUAUGCUUAGGGUUAGGGUUAGUGUUAUGUUAGGGUUAGGGUUAUAGGCCUAUUUUGGGUUAUGUAGAACAGAAUAAAAUUGAUCUAGCAGGUCUAGUCCAACUAGAUUAUAGAAAAUGGGGAAAUUGUAGAGUGUGAACUGGAGCCUGCAGUUACAGUGAGGAGGGCCUUUCAGCUAGAAACAGGAAAGUAGCUUCACAAAGUAGAAAUAAGAGGAAAUAGAGUUUGUUUCGGGAGAGGGUGUUAGGAAAAAGAAAAGAUUCCAAGCACUUUCAGACACUAGGUGUGGAAUAACAAGGAGAACGAAGUCCAUAAAGACAAUGUCUGGAGAGCAGCUGGAAAACAUUUUGCAGAGAGGUGAUUAGAUGCCUACAGGGCAAGCUGAAACAGAUUCAGGGGAUGCCCCCACUUUGGGUUCAGAAGUUUGCAGCGAGGAAGACUAUGAGCCUUCGCGAGGAAGAGGCGAGGCGGUGUGAGGCCAGGGUGAGCCGAGGCCAGGCAAGACAAGGCCAGGAAAUGCCAG
ensembl:lncRNA